rnacentral:rRNA from 1 species
GUACGCUAUUCAGAGUUUGAUCCUGGCUCAGGAUGAACGCUAGCGGCAGGCUUAAUACAUGCAAGUCGUGGGGCAGCGCAGUGUAGCAAUACAUGGGCGGCGACCGGCAAACGGGUGCGGAACACGUACACAACCUUCCUACAAGUGGGGAAUAGCCCAGAGAAAUUUGGAUUAAUACCCGUAACAUAUAAAGAUGGCAUCAUUUUUAUAUUAUAGCUACGGCGCUUGUUGAUGGGUGUGCGGCUGAUUAGGUAGUUGGCGGGGUAAUGGCCCACCAAGCCUGCGAUCAGUAGCUGAUGUGAGAGCAUGAUCAGCCACACGGGCACUGAGACACGGGCCCG